UUUUGUGGUGUUGGCUCUGAUCCACGUCCAGAAAAAAAGCCAUCUAUUUUUUCAUUUAUCAAAAAUAUUUCACAUCCAAUUGAUU
rnacentral:tRNA from 2 species